UGCCUACGGGACGCAGCAGUGAGGAAUAUUGGUCAAUGGACGAGAGUCUGAACCAGCCAAGUAGCGUGAAGGAUGACUGCCCUAUGGGUUGUAAACUGCUUUUAGUUGGGAAUAAAAGGGGGCUAGUGAGCCCCGUAUUGUAUGUACCAUCAGAAAAAGGACCGGCUAAUUCCGUGCCAGCAGCCGCGGUAAUACGGAAGGUCCGGGCGUUAUCCGGAUUUAUUGGGUUUAAAGG
rnacentral:rRNA from 1 species